UUUUGCUUAAACAAUGAUGAAUAGCAGCGUAAACCUAUUGUUGAUAUUUUGUUCUAUUGCUAGAAUAACAGGGAAGACCUUCCUCAUAGAAACAGGCGAGGUGAACUCCCAAAAGAAAAAUGGUUCUGACUACCAAUGGAAGGUAAAUGUUCCAAGAUUCGAUGCUUCAAAUCUAGUUCCAAAUCCAGUCUUGGGUAAUGACUUUCUUCCGUCAGUGGUAGAUAUAGCACACCGGCACCUAAGCGCACCGUAUAAUUUUUAUGAAAAAAUUUAUGGGAAAAAAAAAUGAAAUCUUCUGUUUUAGAAUAAAAAGUAAAUCUAUCUGAA